rnacentral:rRNA from 1 species
UACGGAGGGAGCUAGCGUUGUUCGGAAUUACUGGGCGUAAAGCGCGCGUAGGCGGCUUUGUAAGUUAGAGGUGAAAGCCCGGGGCUCAACCCCGGAAUUGCCUUUAAGACUGCAUCGCUAGAAUCCGGGAGAGGUGAGUGGAAUUCCGAGUGUAGAGGUGAAAUUCGUAGAUAUUCGCAAGAACACCAGUGGCGAAGGCGGCUCACUGGUCCGGUUCUGACGCUGAGGCGCGAAAGCGUGGGGAGCAAACAGG